ACAAUGAGAAAACCUCUCUUCCGUUCUUUCACCCAAAAAAAAAAAAUAAACCUCUCUUCAGUUCAUAAGCAAACACUUCAUUGAUUUUUCGAUUUUGUUGUCCAAUUUCUACUUUUUUAGCAAAGCAGAAUUUGGUUUCAUAUCAGAAGAGGAAGAUGGGUUUCAUGUCAAUUUGAUGGGAUUUUUGUGGACUAAAGUUGUGGCG
rnacentral:lncRNA from 1 species